rnacentral:rRNA from 1 species
GGCGAACGGGUGAGUAACACGUGGGUAAUCUGCCUUGCACUCUGGGAUAAGCCUGGGAAACUGGGUCUAAUACUGGAUAUGACCUUUCUCCUUAUGGGGUUUGGUGGAAAGUUUUUCGGUGUAGGAUGAGCCCGCGGCCUAUCAGCUUGUUGGUGGGGUGAUGGCCUACCAAGGCGACGACGGGUAGCCGGCCUGAGAGGGUGAUCGGCCACAUUGGGACUGAGAUACGGCCCAG